UGAGGCCAGCGGCGGGUGGAUGGGGGUGGGGGUGGAAGGGGAGCGGCGGGGGGGUUUUAUAUCGGACUUCUUGGACGUUGAAGUGCGUGGUCGUUCCAUUUGUCUGUCGAGGUUACCGCAAGAGGAGGGAGAGGUGGGGCAGGAGGAGCAGGGGGAGGAGCAGGAAGUGGGAGGGGUGGUUCGGGAGGGGCCCGCGUCCGAGGGAGAGGAAGAGGUCCCGCAGGCGCCCCUCCAAGUCCUACCGCCGCCACUCCCGCGUCCGCCUCCGCCACCUGUGCAGGUAGUCGGGCGCCCACUCGCGCGACGCCGGCAGGUUCUGGUACCGGUAGUGGCUGUACCGGUCGCGCGACGCCGUCCGGCCCCACGGGCAGUAGCCUGAGCGGCGACCCCUCGGGCUGAAGCUGUGCGGCCGCCACUAGCGCCUCCGACCCUAUUUACGUUAGUCCCUACCCAGAUGUUCCAUGUGUGGAUUACGUCCCUGAUACCUCGACUCCUUUCGGUAGACGUUGUUCGAAGUCCUCCUCUUACCAGAUUGGAUGUCGGGUCUAGUCCACGAUCACUCGUUACCUCGAUUCGUCACGUAAUGUGUUCGACAAGAACGACAGACGAGUGGACCACUACUCCAAAACUAUGGUCGUGGUAAAACCCAGUCGAUAGGACUUUACCGAUCCAACCGACCACGUUGUGGUCACUAGGAGGGCUGUUCGUAUAGUCUGUUAAAGGACGAUUUCGGUCUCAGUGAACGGAGUCACUAGUGACUUUUUAGUUCCGAGAACUAAGAUACGAGAGGUAGAUUAGGUUGUCCGAGACACAUAGGAUUCCUCGACGAACUCCUCUAACGACGAUAUCAGUUCUUCAUAGGAUCCGAGGACCAAGAUAGACUACUCUAGAUACUCGUAUAAUAGAUAGUAGGACGAUUUGUGUGUUCGAAACGACGUAAUGGACCUUACAUACUGGCUUGUAAUUGACAUUUACCUAAAAGAUUCCGAAAACGAUACUGACCGACCGCUGAACCUAUGAAUCGACGGGGAUUUGUAAAACAGAGUCGAACACCUUUCUAGGUUUCGGUCAUGUGUAGACCACGGUCAUCAUAUAGCGUCUUCCGUCCCGAACGUCGGAACUUGGAACCAAUACGGCCGCCACUUCGUCAAAGUUGGUACCAGUUUCGUAAGGUCCUCGCGGCCCUAAUGGAACAUUCUUCAAAGUCCCUUGACGGUCCCCAUUUUUAUAGUCUUGGAGUCCCACGAAAGAUAAACAAGGAGCUGAAGUCGAGGAUGAUGCCUAGGCUCCAUCUCCCAAAACCGUGAUAGUUCCUGAGACUCUGGGAGACGUACAAGGACGAUCUCUUUCGUGUCCAGCGCGAACAGGGACCUCUACGUAAACCCCUACUGUUCCCGUAAGCAUAGAGGAUGCGACGACGUGACAGUUGCGAUGUUAGACGCUACCUCUUCUAUUUUCUGCGUUACCGAGACGAGUUCCGGGGACGGCGCCAAGUUAUUUUUUAUCGCACGACUUCCGUAGAAGCGGUCGUAAUAUAAUUUUCGUACGGGUAACCCUUUUAUCCUUUUGUACGGUAACAACAUGUUGUCUAUCAAGUGGUAAAAGAACCAACACUUGAACGCUCGCUAAACGAAACAAAGUUUGAAAAGUAAACCACAUUACAUUAACAGAAAUGGACGUCCAGUCUUUACUUUUAUUAUACAACGAAGCUGUUGGAUUCUACCCUUUAUUAACUACAAGUGACUAAACCCACCUUUUCUGGAACAUUUAGUAAAUACCUCUUCAUGAAUUGUAGGAACGAAAAGUCGUAAAAU
rnacentral:rRNA from 1 species